rnacentral:rRNA from 1 species
CCUACGGGUGACAGCAGUGAGGAAUAUUGGUCAAUGGACGAGAGUCUGAACCAGCCAAGUAGCGUGAGGGAUGAAUGCACUAUGGGUUGUAAACUUCUUUUAUAUGGGAAUAAAAUGUUGCACGAGUGGAAUGUUGUAUGUACCAUAAGAAUAAGGAUCGGCUAACUACGUGCCAGCAGCCGCGGUAAUACGGAGGAUCCGAGCGUUAUCCGGAUUUAUUGGGUUUAAAGGGAGCGUAGGUGGAUCGUUAAGUCAGUUGUGAAAGUUUGCGGCUCAACCGUAAAAUUGCAGUUGAAACUGGCAGUCUUGAGUACAGUAGAGGUGGGCGGAAUUCGUGGUGUAGCGGUGAAAUGCUUAGAUAUCACGAAGAACCCCGAUUGCGAAGGCAGCUUACUGGACUGCAACUGACACUGAGGCUCGAAAGUGUGGGUAUCAAACAGGAUUAGAUACCCGGGUAGUC